UUCAAUGUUCCCUUCCAGCAAUGUCAGUAUGUCUUUUCCAGGACCUCUGAGAGGGUCAUGCAACCCUCUUCAACUCAUAGAAUGAAGGAAAAUUUACUCCUUUUGAGAAAGUCCAUUCUAUUCACGAAUGGCUCUGAUCAUUCCAAAGUUCUUUCUUUUGCUAAACUGAAAUUUGCCUCCUAGCUCUGUUUUACAGGCAAGUGUACAUAACAGCCCCGCAAUUAUCUGAAAACUACGAGUUUUCACCUCAGUUUUUUUCUUCUCAGGGCCACACUUUCAAGAUACCGAGGGAUCCAACCCCAUGACACCUGCUAGACCCACCUCCAAAACUGGGGAUCACAUUUCAACAUGAGAUUUGGAGGGGACAAACAUCUAAAGUAUAUCAAUAUAUCUGUGAGCUCCAUUAACUAUCCAAGUGGAGAUGUUGAGAGGUGCUCCAGAGGACGCAGCAAUAGAAUUCCGGAGCAAUGUCUGCUUGGCCUCGGUCUUCAUUCCCAUGGUGGCCCCUGAGUUCCGUGGAGCUCACUUCUACAUAGUUCCAUGUGUGACUUCAACAAAAUAAAAUGACGCAUUUAUUGGUUAAAAAUCAGACAGAUUACCAUCAGAUAUGGAAAAUUGCUUUUA
rnacentral:lncRNA from 1 species